rnacentral:rRNA from 1 species
UACGUAGGGCGCAAGCGUUGUCCGGAAUUAUUGGGCCUAAAGCAUCCGUAGCCGGUUCUACAAGUCUUCCGUUAAAUCCACCUGCUUAACAGAUGGGCUGCGGAAGAUACUAUGGAGCUAGGAGGCGGGAGAGGCAAGCGGUACUCGAUGGGUAGGGGUAAAAUCCGUUGAUCCAUUGAAGACCACCAGUGGCGAAGGCGGCUUGCCAGAACGCGCUCGACGGUGAGGGAUGAAAGCUGGGGGAGCAAACCGG